rnacentral:rRNA from 1 species
UACGUAGGGUGCAAGCGUUAAUCGGAAUUACUGGGCGUAAAGCGUGCGCAGGCGGUCUUGCAAGACAGAUGUGAAAUCCCCGGGCUUAACCUGGGAACUGCAUUUGUGACUGCAAGGCUGGAGUACGGUAGAGGGGGAUGGAAUUCCGCGUGUAGCAGUGAAAUGCGUAGAUAUCAAGCGGAACACCAGUGGCGAAGGCGAGUCCCUGGACAACUCCUGACACUGAGGCACGAAAGCUAGGGGAGCAAACAGG